UUCAACCUGAGAGUUUGAUCCUGGCUCAGAACGAACGCUG
rnacentral:rRNA from 1 species